GCUCCCAUGGCGUGGUGGUCGCUGCGCUCGCCUUGCACGCGGGAGACCCGGGUUCGAUUCCCAGCGGGGUCA
rfam:Asian citrus Psyllid, Diaphorina citri - Florida Strain, whole genome shotgun sequence.